UUUCACAUUCGUACUGUAAUCUAAAAAGAAUGAAUAGUUCAUGUUCCUAAGCUGGCCUAGAUUUUCAGAUAUGGUGAUGUUGGCUGCGGACAGAUAUUACGGAUUAUUGAGUAAUACGUAUCUGAAGGAGGAUAACGAAUAACGUCUCAGGUGAUGAUGGCCCCAAACUCUCCGAUACACUGCUUGACACUGCUCUUGUUCUUCCUGAUCCAUAUACCAAAUGGUGCGUCUGAACUGAUCUGUCCUAGUGUUGGGUAUCUUGGUUCUCCUGCUAACCUGACCUGCAUCUCACCCAGUGAUGUAACGUCACUUGGAUAUGCAACAUCGCAGGUUGAAAUUGCAGCCAUCUGUAAUGUAUCAAGUUCAUCCUGUACAACAGUGGGUGACUACAUGGCGUCUACCAUCAACCAGACACACAGCCUCCUCACCAUACCUGCAGUACAACCAGCACAUGCAGGGGAGUGGAAAUGUCACACAUCAUCCUGUAACCUCAUAGUUGUCAGUAAGUUUAUAUCAUGAAACAUUAGUAGUAAUCAAAAGGUAUAGGUGAACUAUUACUAUAAAACCUCUGCCUAAACUAUAUUGCUGCCUCACAGUUCCUAGUAAGUACAACAAAUUGUUGUUUUUUUAAAUUGGUAAAGUCAGUUCAGGACUGAGAUUGUCAGUGGUUCUAUCCUCGAGGAGGGUUAAAGUAUUGUAAAACUGUUGUUCCCCUUAGGAGUACCGAAACAUUAAACUCAGAUUUGGAACUACAUAUUUUCAUUAAUCGUCGGUUAUGUGUUAUUUUAAUCU